rnacentral:rRNA from 1 species
AUUGAACGCUGGCGGCAGGCCUAACACAUGCAAGUCGAACGGUAACAGGAAGAAGCUUGCUUCUUUGCUGACGAGUGGCGGACGGGUGAGUAAUGUCUGGGAAACUGCCUGAUGGAGGGGGAUAACUACUGGAAACGGUAGCUAAUACCGCAUAACGUCGCAAGACCAAAAAGGGGGACCUUCGGGCCUCUUGCCAUCGGAUGUGCCCAGAUGGGAUUAGCUAGUAGGUGGGGUAACGGCUCACCUAGGCGACGAUCCCUAGCUGGUCUGAGAGGAUGACCAGCCACACUGGAACUGAGACACGGUCCAGACUCCUACGGGAGGCAGCAGUGGGAAUAUUGCACAAUGGGCGCAAGCCUGAUGCAGCCAUGCCGCGUGUAUGAAGAAGGCCUUCGGGUUGUAAAGUACUUUCAGCGGGGAGGAAGGGAGUAAAGUUAAUACCUUGGCUCAUUGACGUUACCCGCAGAAGAAGCACCGGCUAACUCCGUG